UACGUAUGGUGCAAGCGUUGUUCGGAAUCACUGGGCAUAAAGAGCUCGUAGGCGGCUCUGCAAGUCAGGUGUGAAAGCCCUCGGCUCAACCGAGGAACUGCACCUGAAACUGCUGAUCUAGAGUGCGGGAGGGGAGAACGGAAUUCCUGGUGGAGCGGUGAAAUGCGUAGAUAUCAGGAGGAACGCCGGAGGCGAAAGCGGUUCUCUGGCCCGCAACUGACGCUGAGGAGCGAAAGCUAGGGGAGCAAACAGG
rnacentral:rRNA from 1 species